GACGAACGCUGGCGGCGUGCUUAACACAUGCAAGUCGAACGGUGAAGGUGGAGCUUGCUCCGCCGGAUCAGUGGCGAACGGGUGAGUAACACGUGGGCAACCUGCCCCAGACUUCGGGAUAACUCCUCGAAAGAGGCGCUAAUACCGGAUACGAGUUCUGCAGGCAUCUGCGGAAUUGGAAAGUUUUUCGGUCUGGGAUGGGCGCGCGGCCUAUCAGCUUGUUGGUGAGGUAACGGCUCACCAAGGCGACGACGGGUAGCCGGCCUGAGAGGGCGCCGUGCCAAGCGAGGACUGAGACACGGCCCAGACUCCUACGGGAGGCGGCGGUGGGGAAGAUUGCGCAAUGGGCGAGAGCCUGACGCAGCAACGCAGCGUGCGGGAUGAAGGCCUUCGGGUUGUAAACCGCUUUCAGCAGAGAAGAAGCGAAAGUGACGGUACCUGCAGAAGAAGCACCGGCUAACUACGUGCCAGCCGCCGCCGUAA
rnacentral:rRNA from 1 species